rnacentral:misc_RNA from 1 species
AGGUGCAAACUAACAAUUUAUUUAGGUUGGCCCAACACUAUUAAUAUUUAUCUUGUUAUUCAUGAGAAGAAGUAUUAUUUUUUGUAAAGUUUUAUUCACAUUUUGUGUCUGUUUUUUUUUUUUUUUUAUCAGAAAGUAGACAUAGUCCAAUCAGUGAAAAAUAUGUGCCAUUUUUUUUCCUUGACUGUUUAAUUAUACGAAUUUUAGUUUAUGACUGUUAUUAAGGGGUACCUUUACUGAUUUUUACAUCAGUAUAGGGUGGGUCAAUCAUUUAAUGACGCAAAGGUAGUCGUGAGGAUGACUUAAAUCUCACCAACAUCACUUUAUUUUACAAAUUUGUAAUUGUUAUUGUCUUAUUCUGUAAGAAAAGUUUAAUAAAUUGUUUUUUCCU